rnacentral:rRNA from 1 species
GUGGGGAAUAUUGGACAAUGGGCGAAAGCCUGAUCCAGCAAUGCCGCGUGAGUGAAGAAGGCCUUCGGGUUGUAAAGCUCUUUUACCCGGGAAGAUAAUGACUGUACCGGGAGAAUAAGCCCCGGCUAACUCCGUGCCAGCAGCCGCGGUAAUACGGAGGGGGCUAGCGUUGUUCGGAAUUACUGGGCGUAAAGCGCACGUAGGCGGUCUUUUAAGUCAGAGGUGAAAGCCCGGGGCUCAACUCCGGAAUUGCCUUUGAAACUGGAAGACUUGAACACGGGAGAGGUGAGUGGAAUUCCGAGUGUAGAGGUGAAAUUCGUAGAUAUUCGGAGGAACACCAGUGGCGAAGGCGGCUCACUGGACCAUUGUUGACGCUGAGGUGCGAAAGCGUGGGGAGCAAACAGGAUUAGAUACCCGAGUAGUCC